rnacentral:rRNA from 1 species
GUAGGUGGCAAGCGUUGUCCGGAAUUAUUGGGCGUAAAGUGCGCGCAGGCGGUCCUUUAAGUCUGAUGUGAAAGCCCACGGCUCAACCGUGGAGGGUCAUUGGAAACUGGGGGACUUGAGUACAGAAGAGGAAAGCGGAAUUCCAAGUGUAGCGGUGAAAUGCGUAGAGAUUUGGAGGAACACCAGUGGCGAAGGCGGCUUUCUGGUCUGUAACUGACGCUGAGGCGCGAAAGCGUGGGGAGCAAACAGGGAUUAGAUACCCUGGUAGUCCACGCCGUAAACGAUGAGUGCUAAGUGUUAGGGGGGUUUCCCGCCCCCUUAGUGCUGCAGCUAACGCAUUAAGCACUCCGCCUGGGGGAGUACGGCCCGCAAGGCUG